GUGAACUGCCCUUUAAGAUGCCAAACCAAAAACCAUCAAUAUGGAUAUGCUGCAGAAUCUUUACUUUUCUUCCGGGAUUAAAGUGAUAUACUGUCACAAGACUGUUAUGGGAAGACUUAGUUCCUGAUGUUUUGACUGUUGCACCAUCAUAGUCCUGGUGUGGAUAUUAAACCCACCCUCAAACAGAUGUAGCAGCAUAAUUCUGCAAGUAGUAUGGAAUUGCUACUCCCAGGUAAAUUCACUGCAUAUUUUUCUUGCAUUGAACAUUUAAACAACACAACCUUAGUAUAUUUGUAUUGUAG